rnacentral:rRNA from 1 species
AUUGAACGCUGGCGGAAUGCUUUACACAUGCAAGUCGAGCGGCAGCGCGGGGCAAACUGGCGGAGAGCGGCGAAAGGGUGAGUAACCCAGCGGAACGUAGUCUGCCGUGGGGGAUAACAAAUGCAAAGAUGUGCUAGUCCCGAAUGCGACCGGAGGAUGGACGGGGGGGAUGGCAAGAUCUCGCUCGAUAGGAGCGGCCGGAGUCGGAUUAGCUAGUUGGUGGGGUAAAGGCCCACCAAGGCGACGAUCCGUAGCUGGUCUGAGAGGACGACCAGCCACACUGGGACUGAGACACGGUCCAGACUCCUACGGGAGGCAGCAGUGGGGAAUUUUGGACAAUGGGCGCAAGCCUGAUCCAGCCAUUCCGCGUGAGUGAAGAAGGCCUUCGGGUUGUAAAGCUCUUUCGUCAGGAACGAAACGAUGGGGGCUAAUAUCCCCUGCUAAUGACGGUACCUGAAGAAGAAGCACCGGCUAACUACGUGCCAGCCGCCGCGGUAA